UAUAAGUCGCGUUUGUUUAGAAAAUUUUAAGGGGGCUGGUCUUACGAUUAUUCCCUAAACACAUCAAUUAACACUUUAAUUUCCAGUUACAGGCGUCCAGUUGUCAGGAUAAAUGGGCGCUGUCCAGUAUUCAAAUAGAGCUACAUUGUUUUGAGGAUUGUAAAAUUUUGAAUACUCGGCAGUAAAUAAAGCUAGAAAAGAAAAUCAGCAAGACAAUAUGUAACUUAAUUCAUAUAGAAAAAUAAACCAUAUAUUGGUAAAUAUAAAA